GAACUCCCCACCCUUUGCUGUUGCGAAUACGUUGCUUCGGCGGGCCCGUCCCUCCCCCCCAUCCCGGGGGGUACAGGGCCGGCCGGUCCCAUCGCGGACCGGACAGCGCCCGCCGGAGGACCAAAUCAACUCUGUUUUUAACCAUACUGUCGGAGUACUUUUGUACAAUCAAAUUAAAACUUUCAACAACGGAUCUCUUGGUUCUGGCAUCGAUGAAGAACGCAGCGAAAUGCGAUAAGUAAUGUGAAUUGCAGAAUUCAGUGAAUCAUCGAAUCUUUGAACGCACAUUGCGCCCCUUGGUAUUCCGAGGGGCAUGCCUGUUCGAGCGUCAUUUCACCAAUCAAGCCCCGCUUGGUAUUAGGCGUCAGGCCGGAUCCGCCCCCGUCAAAAAGGGGCAAGCCGGCCCGCCCGAAAUGCAUCGGCGAGGCACCGACCCCCGGCGUGUUAGAAUUUCGAAACGUCAGGAGCACCGGUGUUAACCUCUGCCGUCAAACCUUUUUUUUUUUUAAAAAAAUAUUUUCUUAAGGUUGACCUCGGAUCAGGUAGGAAUACCCGCUGAACUUAAGCAUAUCAAUAAGCGGAGGAAAAGAAACCAACAGGGAUUGCCUCAGUAACGGCGAGUGAAGCGGCAAUAGCUCAAAUUUGAAAUCUGGCGUCUUCGGCGUCCGAGUUGUAAUUUGUAGAGGAUGCUAUUGAGUUGUCACCGGUCUAAGUUCCUUGGAACAGGACGUCAUAGAGGGUGAGAAUCCCGUAUGUGACCGGCCAGACGCUCUCUGUAUAGCUCCUUCGACGAGUCGGGUUGUUUGGGAAUGCAGCCCUAAAUGGGAGGUAAAUUUCUUCUAAAGCUAAAUACCGGCCAGAGACCGAUAGCGCACAAGUAGAGUGAUCGAAAGAUGAAAAGCACUUUGGAAAGAGAGUUAAAAAGCACGUGAAAUUGUUGAAAGGGAAGCGCUUGCAAUCAGUCUCGACGGCGGCUGUUCGGCCUCUCUUCUGAGUGGUUUAUUCAGUCGCCGCCGGGCCAGCAUCAGUUUUGGCGGUCGGAUAAAGGCGCGGGGAAUGUAGCUCCUCUCGGGGAGUGUUAUAGCCCCG
rnacentral:rRNA from 1 species